GCCUUAACUUCAUAUUCAUGAUUAACCUACUAUUUCAGAACAAUGAUGGCUCCAACUGUGACUGCCUAAACUUGUUCAGUUCCAACAACUCAACGCACUUAUUUUAAAACGAGAAAGAAUUCUAACUAACAUGCAUUGGAAACUACUAGUAAUUUACACCUUGCAGUUUACGACCAAAAGAAAACAGUUCUAGUCAAGUAUAAAUUCCACCGUCCAUAUUCUUUAUUAAAUUACAAAGAUAGACUAUACAACUAUCUAUAUUUGACUAUUGAAAUAUAGAUACAACUUAAGUACUCGACUAAUUGAACAAUUCUUUUCACUUUUAACAGCUACAUCACAGUGAUUCGAAAGUUUACCUGGUAAUAGAACAAAAGAAAAUGGUGAAUAUCAGUAGAUCAGUAGCAGAAAACAACAACAAUCAGCACAAAAAUAGGGUGACGACCAACAGAAACAAUCCCAACAACCAAACAGUCCAGAAAACCAGUGAAAUACCCAAAAUCAAACAUCAACAGAACUAGCAAAUAAAUGAAACUCCAAACCUCUUCAAGACCAACACUCAAACACUCCGAUGCAAUCAAAUAAUAACAAAAGAAGUACUGAUUUUUUAACCGUAAAAUGAGACGGAUUUCUUCAGUUUUUUUUCUCUCUAACUCUGAAAUUCUAAUGUUUAAAAUUCAGCUCUUUUCAACUUAAACUCUGAAUAUUUCUAUGUUCAAAAUCCAGCCUAAAAACUCUAUCUUAUGAAUUUUUUUCCAGUAUGGUCAAGCUCUCUAUUUUUAGAAUCUCCUCCCUUAUGCUGAAAAUGAAUCCUUAUAUCUCAAAAUCAAGACUCUAUUUUUUCCCCUUUAAUUAUUAUUACAACCCUUUUAUCAUUACCUCUUCCUUUAAUUUACAGCCCCCCGAAUAUGCUCUUCUUUGUGUGCCUUUACACUUUUAUCAUCACUUACAGUAUUCCUAAUUUCAGUUAAGCAAAAGUAGUCAACCUUUAUCAAUUGCAGUGGUCCCCUCCUACUAAUUAGUUCAAAUUAAACACAUUGGGGUCCUAUUGGCCAUCAUAAUCAGUCAAACCAUGUUUUAAUUUUAAACUUCCUAAAUUACCUUUGGGAUUCCUAUUGACUGCUACUAUUCUGAUUCAGAACAUUAGAAUACAGAAUUAAACCUUUAAAAUCUAAAACUAAUAUCUAAUCAACAGCUAUAGUCAAUCCUUAAAUGAUUCUUGAUUCAGCUUAAACCAAUGAAUCUGAAAUUAACACAUAAUCAGGCUACAAGUGUUCGUAGAACCAGUCCAGAAAUAAAGAAAAAUGGACUGAGAAUUCCAAGAAGCAGCAAUUAAUUAACUCAGCAACAAUUGAUUCAAGGUAGAGCAAACACCACUAUAACAAGAUAUAAUGAAUAAACUAUUCUAAUUAAACCUAAAUAUGAACAAGGGAGCUCUGUAAAUUUAUGGGAUAAGAAGUAGAAUAGAAUUAACUGAUAAUAAUUAAUCGACUGCAUAAUUGAAAACACAUAAUCAAUAAACAACCAACAAUCAGAAUUAAAUAGUUAUACAGAGGAUUUGACUGGUUUUGAUCAAGCAGGGAACUAACAUGAUACUAAUCAACUGACGAAGCUUAUUGAUUUGAUUACAUAAUCUAUAUUAUAUACAAAACAAACAAGCAGACAAAACAGGCCACCAGAUGAAUUUAGUUAUUUUGGACAGAACAUGGGACCUAUGAAGCUAAAUAACUCGACGACAUUAAUCAACUCGACUAUGCAAUUCGUGACAGAUAGAAUAAUUAAUAGACCAAAUAAAAGGUCAGUGAAGAAGAGAAGAUCUUUGAUAGAAUUUGAAAGAGAAAAAAUAAUACGACGAUAUGAAUGAAAAAACUAGACAAAAAUAAAAUGACCGAAGCGAGAAGAAGAUAACCUCAAAGCUCAAAAUCUAUAUGACCCAAUCUCGAAACUUGACUUCAAUCUUUUUGAGGUCAAACAGACUCUUAAUCGGUGUGUUCUCAGUUGAUAACACUUAGAUUAAGGUCUAUUAGACCUCUAUCUCCUAUUGAUUUUGAGCAUGCCCUCAAUUUCGAUUUCUAGGGUUCAUGUGGGUUCGAUUUGGGGUUCGAAUAGUUCUGGUCAAAUUUGAAUGGAGCCAAGGUGUUUUGUGGUACGAUGGAGGUCAAAGGGAGGCCUGGUGUGAAUUUGAGGGUGGUUGGUGUAGCUCUACAUUUGCCUCGAAUCUUCAAAUGAAUAUUUAAGAAGAUGGAAGAUUAUUCGAGCCAAACGGUUAACACAUUUGGGAUGGGGGUGGUCAGAUGGUCUUAUGGUGUUGGUUUGGUGGCCAUCAGAGACAGUUGAGGUUUUUAGUCAAAUCUUAAAAUUAAAAUUCGAACAGUUGGGAUUUUAUUCGAGGGUAACAGAUGGUGGAUUUGGAUUGGGAGCAAUCAGAUGGCUUAUGGGUGUUAAUUUGGUGGUGGUCGGAGACGGGGCCGCCAGGUUUGUGGUGAAGGGAUAUGGUGGCGGCGCUAGGGUUUCGUUCAUGUUUGUCUCUGAUUGAGAGAGACAAUGAACAAGAGAUGGGGGUGUUUGGUUAUGGGGGUGGGGUGAGGUCUUAGAGUUAUAUACUAG
rnacentral:lncRNA from 1 species